ensembl:snRNA U4atac minor spliceosomal RNA
ACUUUCCUUGUCUUGGGGUGAUACGGGCUGUCCAAUGAGCGUUUAGCGAGGGCAUCCCUGCUAACACCACAGCAACACAUACCGCACCACCUGAGCGUCUUGCUCAGGCAUGGGUGCAAUUUUUGGAACC